rnacentral:rRNA from 1 species
GAUGAACGCUGGCGGCGUGCUUAACACAUGCAAGUCGAACGGGAAUUACUUUAUUGAAACUUCGGUCGAUUUAAUUUAAUUCUAGUGGCGGACGGGUGAGUAACGCGUGGGUAACCUGCCUUAUACAGGGGGAUAACAGUCAGAAAUGGCUGCUAAUACCGCAUAAGCGCACAGAGCUGCAUGGCUCAGUGUGAAAAACUCCGGUGGUAUAAGAUGGACCCGCGUUGGAUUAGCUGGUUGGUGGGGUAACGGCCCACCAAGGCGACGAUCCAUAGCCGGCCUGAGGGGGGGAACGGCCACAAUGGGACUGAGACACGGCCCAGACUCCUACGGGAGGCAGCAGUGGGGAAUAUUGCACAAUGGGGGAAACCCUGAUGCAGCGACGCCGCGUGAAGGAAGAAGUAUCUCGGUAUGUAAACUUCUAUCAGCGGGGAAGAUAGUGACGGUACCUGACUAAGAAGCCCCGGCUAACUACGUGCCAGCCGCCGCCGUAACAC